GUGUGUGUGUGUGUGUGUGUGUGUGUGUGUGUGUGUGUGUGUGUGUGGCGCUCCAGGCAGGAGAAAAAGGAAGGAAACCCUCACAAAUCAGAAGUUAGUAAAAUUGAAAAGGAAAUUCAAAGCAAAUCAUAUGCAUGAGCCUUAAUUUGCAAUCAUCUAAGUUUACUCAACAAGUGAUAGGUGAGGUAACGUUUGGAUGGCAACGGGUCAAACGAAUGAUAAAGCAACAACACUGCUACGGGCGAAGGUGAUAUGUUUGAAAACAAUGAACGAGUAGAUAAGUCAUGAGAAACAACGGGGUGGCUUGAACCGGUAACAUGGAAGAAGAAGAAAAGAACUCAAAAGUCGUUCACCAAUAAUCCGAUUCGGAUGGUAGAAAGGCGAAAGUGAUCAAGUCUUGGAAGCGGGUCAACUAUGGAAAGAUUUAGUGAUGAUUUGUUCACUAAGUAUAUGGGUUUUCUUAUCGGGUCAAAUUGACCUAGUUAUUUACAUUUUGGAGUUUAACUUCAAUGUUUGUUUUCGCUAAGCGCUAGUAUGUCAAUGUAGUAGUUGUUUAUGUUUAUUUUAUAAAAACUUUGGUAAUUAAGCAGGUUUUGUCUUCGUAA